GAUGAACGCUGGCGGCGUGCCUAAUACAUGCAAGUCGAGCGAACAGAUAAGGAGCUUGCUCCUUUGACGUUAGCGGCGGACGGGUGAGUAACACGUGGGUAACCUACCUAUAAGACUGGGAUAACUUCGGGAAACCGGAGCCAAUACCGGAUAAUAUUUCGAACCGCAUGGUUCGAUAGUGGAAGAUGGUUUUGCUAUCACUUAUAGAUGGACCCGCGCCGUAUUAGCUAGUUGGUAAGGUAACGGCUUACCAAGGCGACGAUACGUAGCCGACCUGGGAGGGUGAUCGGCCACACUGGAACUGAGACACGGUCCAGACUCCUACGGGAGGCAGCAGUAGGGAAUCUUCCGCAAUGGGCGAAAGCCUGACGGAGCAACGCCGCGUGAGUGAUGAAGGUCUUCGGAUCGUAAAACUCUGUUAUUAGGGAAGAAUAUACGUGUAAGUAACUGUGCACGUCUUGACGGUACCUAAUCAGAAAGCCACGGCUAACUACGUG
rnacentral:rRNA from 1 species